GAGCGUUUCGCUUGCUGUGUGGUACCUCGCCGCUUCGACAUCCGUUGCAUUGGAAACAACGGAAUUCAAAGUCACAUACUCGCAGGUGGAUAUAUGAUGUGACGGACGCACACAGACAUUCGAGGUUUCACACAGGGACGUUGCACGGACGCCGGCUGUGAUCGUGAUGCAUUUAUUAGAGAAACUGGUGAAAAUGGACAUGCACUGGAAGUAGCAUGCUGUUAUUGUCACCAUGCACGAGCCAAGCAUGCAGCAAUGAGUGAAACAGGUAACCCAUAGCGCAGCUCCACUGGUUCCAAAUUUGAUGGACACAGCCAUGAGUUACCUGGCAGUAUUGUGGCAGAGGGUAUCUUGUGCCACAGAAGUACAUACGAACAGUCCAGCAGAAAUACAGCAGCAGCCCAAUCCCAGUCUAUAACUCUGCAGAGGCUCAGAGAGAUAGCAGCAAACCAGGUCCUUCCCACAACUCUCCGCAAACCCAGCCAGCCAGCCAUGUACGAACCUAUAUUUGCCAACAUUGUAGAUUGUCGACUAGGUAUUUCCAGUGCUUUUGUGACCACGUUGUUCAGUGUGUUGGGUGUGGCUUUCUCCCUUCUUGUGAUACUUGUGGAACAACGUUUGAAACCAUCUAAAGAUACAUACAUCAUUUGAAUUUUUGUAUUUAGUUAAGCACACGAGUACAGGAUGACAUAACGUGACAGGAUGAGCCAGCCAACACAAUGUAUAGGUGAGCUACUUGAGCAGAUGGAAAGAACAGAUCAAAGUUCGAAGAAUAAUCUGAAAAAAAAAAAAAAAGGCUAUUUAAGCCAUAACCCAGAGGGCCACCACAUGUGCUCCAAGGUGGUUGUCGAUUGCGUUGUAAGCAGCAUAGAAGA